UUCUUUGAACCUAUCUACGUGACUUUACCGAAAGACCCUAAGAAUAUGUCCUGUGCGUGUAUGAUGGGUGCUGGUGCAGUUAACAUUUUAGAAACUGGAAUGUUACCGAGUUGAAGCAACUACAUUUUUCUAAAUGUUGUUGAUGCUAUUAAAAUCGAGUUCAGUACAAGUGUACCCCGAUAUAUAUCAAUGCGAUGAUUCUUUAUUACCUUCGUCAUAUGUUACUGCUUUUUUGUUAGUUAAGUCUCCUUUGUUUCGGAUACAACGUUCUUGUUUUUAAUUCUCCAGUAUUUUUUUUCGGUUUGUGAAGAGAGAAAUAAAACAUUAGCAAAUGGUAAAUGCCCAUUACGUCGUGUGUCCGUGCGUGCAUUGAUGUACACCAUGCGGUUCGUAGCCUAACGUUUCAGAAUCAGAAGAAUGAAUUUGUUACUGGAGGAAUCCGAUGAGCUAUGAAGCUCUUUUUUCACAGAUGUCCAGUAGGGGCGGUUCAGAACGUUACAACAUCAACACACGGGACAACGACAAGAUAGGAGUGCAAAGUCUAAGAAAGGUGCGUGACGUCAUAUAUGGACGGCCCCUUUGCGCAACAUGUGGAGAGUGAAAAUCUCACUCAGACGCAACGGAUUAUGAACGGGUGGCUGGACAAUAAAAAUCUAAAAAUGCCACAUUGUACUGAUAUUCAUGGCCACAGGCCCAACUCAUUCAUGACCAUGGUCACUCACAGAGAAAAUGUUGCAAUGCUGCAUGUACUUUAUGUUCUCGAGCUCAGGUAUGAGAAUGCGUCGGAAGUCUUUGAAAGGUCACGGUGUUGUGUAUUCACUUUGCAUGCGUUUGGUGGCAGUUUCUGCAUUGGCUAUGGUGAGGUUCAGUGCGGUGUUUUUUUUUCGCAUGACUGAUUUCGAAGUACCUUUACUAUGUAUGUAUGGUGAACUUCUUCCGCGCACCAUAAGUUGCCAACCGUGCUAAUCACAAUGGUUAAUUCAUACGCUCGCUUGAGCCAUAUGCCUAUCGACUGAGUUAUCAUCUGUGGUAUCAAUGGUAACUUGAUAUUUGCUUCGCCAUGAAUAACACAAAGGGUUUGGUGGAUGUUGAUCAACAGAUACAAUCCUGCAAAUUGUCAAUUUUAAGUGCAUCGUGAGUGAACAGAAUACCGUGUUCUGUAUAUAUAUAACACACGCGUGGCGCGUGGUUAGCGCAUUCGAACUGACAAGCCCGAGUCCCAGACACGGCUACUAUCAGUGGUGGGGUGAUAUCUAAACCAGUCCUGGGCACCACCCUGCGCUGACCAGUGUGGUGAAAUAUGGUGAAAUAAUUAAAACACCUAUGGAUAACACAGUGUGGCAAAUCCCUUAUCCAGUAGUGCAUCAAUUAUGUACAGGCUUGUGAAUGACCCGCUAUGGAAACAGAAGAUUAGAGGAAUAUGUUUAGGACCCAAAAAAUACUAACAUGGUUUUCUUCAUUGUUAAUACUAACCCCAAAAGCUGUGUAUUCCAGCCCGUCAAACGUGAGAUUUACACGUUUGACAAACUUGAGUUUGAUGCUUUAUUAAUGAGGGAAAACACACUUUAAAACCAAUGCAUUGGCCGAUUUAUAAUCAAGUGCCGUGCUCCAACUGCAGUGACGUCCGGCGCAGGCUAAACAUGUCACCACGUGCAUUCCCAUUCGAUCUGCAUAAUGCUACCACAAGACAUCUCGCAUCGAGCCUAUGAAUUCACCAGGGCUUCAGAAUUAUUAAGCACUUAAAAAAUUAAAUUAAAAAAACUUACUUUCUGAAACUUACUGUCAAUAGGAAUUUUCUUAAUGUGUUUUUUUUAUUAUGUCUUUGCUCGAUAUUUCUAACAAUGUUAUUUAAUUUUGCCUACAAUUUCACUUUUAUUGUUCACGCCUGCAAAGCACAAUGCAUUGCAUUUUGUUUGCGCGAAUAGUGCUAUAGAAAUAAAGUUUCAUUGAUU